rnacentral:tRNA from 1 species
GCCGGUUUAGCUCAGCUGGUAGAGCAACGGUCUUGUAAACCGUAGGUCGUCUGUUCGAGUCAGACAAUCGGCACCA